rnacentral:sRNA from 1 species
GCUGGGCGUGGUGGUGCAUGCCUGUAAUCCCAGAGACUCGGGAGGCUGAGGCAGGAGGAUUGCUAGUUCAAAGCCAGCCUCAGCAAAAAACAAGGCUCUAAACAGCUCAGUGAGAUCCUGACUCUG